rnacentral:lncRNA from 1 species
CUGGUGUCUGUCUUCUCUUCGAGAGCCCGCUCUAGUGAACGUCUUCUCGAGCCGUAGGCGCCUCCCGUUUCUCGUUCCCCAGGUCCCCAGAGCAAUAUAGGUUAGUGCCAACCUUCUUCUCAUCGCCUAGGGGCUUCUCCUCUCUUCAUUACUUUUGUGUCUCCUUCCGAGUUAGCCUUCGGCGUCUCGUUCCCCUUUUGGUCUGUCUUUUUAGGAUCCU